CAAAUACUUACUUCUGAAAAUGGAUGAAUUCCUUUUCUUUGGAAAAUAUAGCUCUUAAAAUCUGCAAAGUGGUAGGAUUAUCUAAAGCUAGCAUGAAGUCUCUACUUAGUCCCUUCAACCAUGUAUAUCAACUCACCUGAAAAAAUCUAAUAUCUGACAAGUUUUCUAGAUCAAAGACCGAAUGCCUCUUUUGUGCAUCUUUUCCAUUUAAAUAGAAAAACUCUGUACCUUCUCUCCUCCGUCAGAAUAUUUACCUCCCUAAUGUAUUAAUUACAUAUAUGCUAAUAUACAUCUAAUAUAGUAGACCAUGAGUGCAAUUAGUAGACUAGAUCCCAUAAGCAGCUGUUCUUGUCUUUUGCUAGCAGAUCAGAUCUCAUAAUCAGUUGCUGCCCAUGACUUCCAUAAGCAGCUGUUCUUGACUUUUACUUUUGCUAGCAGGCUGUCCUUGACUUCCAUAAGCAGCUGUUCUUGACUUUUGCAUUUAGUAGACCAGAUCCCAACUACUGCCCUUGAUAUCCCCCCUCAAAUUGAUGCUGGUGGAUCAAAAAGCAUCAAUUUGUCAACCAGAAAAUUGUGUCUAUGACGGGAGAGAGCUUUAGUAAAUAUAUCAGCAGUUUGGAGAUCAGUGGUAAUAUGAGGAAGAGAAAUAACAUGAUCAUCAUAUGCUUCACGGAUAGAGUGACAAUCAACUUCAAUAUGUUUUGUACGCUCAUGGAAUACAGGAUUAGCAGCAAUGUGAAUAGCGCUAGUAUUAUCGGCAUGAAGGGGAGUAGGUGCAAGUUGGGGAAACCCAAGCUCACCUAAGAGGCCUCGAAGCCAAAUGAUCUCAGAACAUCCAGAGGACAUAGCACGAUACUCUGACUCAGUAGAGGAUUUAGACACCCUAUCUUGCUUUUUGCUUUUCCAAGAAAUAAGAGAAUUUCCAAGAAACAUGCACCAACCAGUAAUUGAUCGUCUAGUAUCUGAACACCCUGCCCAGUCAGCGUCGCUAUAGGCUACCAAAUGAAUAGGAGAAUUUUUGGAGAAGAAAAGACCACGAGAGGAAGUGCCUAGUAAAUAGCGAAUAAUGCGACGAACAGCAGCUAGAUGGAGAUGCCUAGGCGUCUGCAUAAAUUGACUAACUUGUUGAACAGCAAAUGAAAUAUCAGGCCGAGUAAUAGUUAAAUAGUUAAGACUUCCCACCAAUUGCCGAUAGAGAGAGGGAUCUGAGAGAAAAUCACCCUCAUCACGGCGAUAUUUAACAUUUACUUCCAAGGGAGUAUCAACAGACCGACCAUCUUGAAGACCUGCCAAAGCAAUUAAUUCCUGGAUGUAUUUAUGUUGAUGUAAGAAAAUACCAGCUGAGGUAGAGUGCACUUCUAGGCCCAAAAAAUAUUGUAGAGGACCUAAAUCUUUCAUAUGAAAAGAACGUUGAAGAUGCUCUUGAAGUUGAGAGAUUAAUGCAGAGUCAUUUCCUGUGAUAACAAUAUCAUCAACAUAAACCAGAAGUAAAACCAGUCCCUUAUCAGUCUUGCGAAGAAACAAAGAGGAGUCAUACUGGCUCUGAACAAAUGAGAAGCUAAUAAGGGUAGAACGGAACUUAUCAAACCAAGCCCGUGGAGCUUGUUUUAAGCCAUAGAGUGAACGUUUUAGCUUACAAACAUCAGAAGAAGAUGUAAAAAAUAACCCUGAUGGUGGAGUCAUAUAAAUAUCUUCUUGAAGAUCGCCAUGUAAAAAGGCAUUCUUUACAUCCAUCUGUCGCAAUGACCAGCCUGUAGAAGCAGCAAUAGCUAGAACAAGUCUAACUGUUGUCAUCUUUGCCACAGGAGCAAAGGUCUCCUCAUAAUGUACUCCAUACUUUUGCCGAUUACCAAGAGCUACUAAUCGUGCCUUAUACCUUUCAAGUGAGCCAUCAGAUCUCAAUUUAACAGAAAAUACCCAUUUACAACCAAUGGGUUUAACACCAUCGGGACAAGGAACAAGAUCCCAAGUAUGAUUCUCCUGAAGAGCUUGAAGUUCCUCAUUCAUAGCUUUCACCCAACAUGCUUGUUUAGCUGCCUGUAAAUAGGAUGUAGGAACUGUAGUGUCAGUUAUAGUGGCAGAAAAACCAUACCGAUCAGGCGGACGACUAAGACGUAGGGACCUUCGAAGAGUGGUUGGAGCAAGGACUGGAUUAGUGUCAAGAAGAGGUUGUGAUGAAGAAGCCUGUCGUCUCUGAUAAACAAUCCCAGGUUUAAAUCGAUCAACUGGUGGAGCAAUAUCAUCAAAGUUAGGAAGAACAACACCUUCAGACGAGGAACCAUGGUAUGGAAAGUAGUGCUCAUUUUCAAAGAAAAUCACAUUUCUAGAAAUGUGUAGAUGAUUAGCAAUAGCAUCAUAACACAAAAAUCCUUUAUGAGUUGUACUAUAACCCAUGAAAGCACAUUUUACAGAUUGAGCUGUAAGUUUGUGACGCUCAUGAGGAGGUAAGUGAACAAAGCAAACACAUCCGAAUGUGUGUAGAUUGCCAUAAUCAGGAUGUACACCAAAAAGACGAUAAUAAGGAGAAUCAAAAUUCAAUUGUUGAGAAGGUAGACGAUUGAUUAAAUAAACUGCAGUGGAUAAAGCUUCCACCCAAAAUUUAGAUGGAACCGAAGACUGCAAGAGUAAGGUUCGUACCAUAUCCAACAAAUGGCGAUGCUUACGUUCAGCCACCCCAUUCUGUUGAGGGGUAUAAGGACAUGAUCGUUGAGAUAAAAUACCUCUCUGUUGCAAAAAUGCUUGAAAGGCAUGUGACAUAUAUUCCCCGCCAUUGUCAGAGUGUAAAACUUUAAUGCAAGUAGAAAAUUGUGUUUCUACAUAAGCUACAAAUUUCUUAAAAACAGCAAAUACUUCAGCUUUAGUACGCAAAAAAUAUACCCAUGUGAAACGACUAUAGUCAUCAAUGAAUGUCACAAAAUAUUUAUAUUGUGCAUGUGAAACAACAGGAGUAAUACCCCAAACAUCACUAUGAAUGAUCUCAAAACUUGUAUUAGCAUGACCACCAUGACUAGGAAAAGGUAAUAUUUUACUUUUCCCUAGUCUACAAGUAGAACAAUCAAAAGACAAUUUAUGAUUAAAACACUGAUCCUUGCUCCCCAGAAAAUCAUGCUUUAUUAAAUGAGAUAAAAUGACAUUAUUUGGAUGACCCAAUCGUUGAUGCCAUACUUCAACUUUAUUGUCAACAACCAUAGAAGCCAAAGACAAACUACUUGGAACUGAAAAUUGCAAAGGAAAUAGUCUGCCCACUUUAGGCCCCUUCGCGAUCACCUUCCCCGACACCUGGUCCUGCACAAGACAACCAUCACGAGAGAACCGUACAUCACAGUUAUUAUCCACCAUCUGACCAACAGAAAUCAAACUAGUAGACAACCCUGGAGAGACAAAUACAUGACGAAAAGAAGGUCCAAUAUCACCAAUGGCUGUAAUUGGAAGAUUACUGCCGUUAGCAAUCUGAAUAUUUUGUGUACCAGUAUAUUGCCGUAGAUUAUGUAGUGAUGCAGAUGAACCAGUCAUAUGAUUUGAUGCUCCAGAAUCAACUAACCAAGGAGUAGAAACAAUUUUACCUUGACCUUGAAGUCCAAGAGUAGAAAAUGCUGAAAGAAUCAUUUGUUGAACCAUUUCUGGAGUAAGUGUUGUGGCUGUGGAUGUAGAACCAAUAGUGUUAGAGUCUUGGACAGCACCUUGAAAGGCUUGGACUCUUCGAUUCUCAGGGCGUGUAGGACAGUCCUUGAUAAUGUGUCCAGUUUGCUUACAAUAAUUGCAAAAUUUCUUUCCACAAUUGCGUGCAAUAUGCCCAAGUUCCUUGCAACUAUAGCACUGUACUUGUCCCUUUCCGCGAUUCUUCCCUUGAGCAGCAUAGGCAAUAUUGACAACUUCAGAUAUCUCCUUUGAUGUACCUAUGAUAGUUUGUGUAGCCAUUCUCUGUUCUUCUCGCAACAAGUCACCAAGACAUACGUCUAAAGAAGGAACUGGGUUUCUAUUUAACAAUCCAGCUCUAAUCGCCUCAAAUUCAGGCCUCAGUUUCAUUAGAAACUGGUCACGCUUACUAUCUUCGUGAACCGCUUGAAUACCGGCUAAGGCUUCGCUUGGUACCUUAGAAUAGAUUAUACCAGAGUAUUCACUCCAUAAAUUAAGAAAUCCAGAAUAAUACUGCUCAAUAGAGAGAUUACCUUGGCUACAUGUACUAAUUUCCAAUUCAAGCUGAAAUCUUCUUGCUGUAUUAUCUUGAUGAUAUACACGCUUCAAAUGAUCCCACAUCUCCUUUGCUGUAUUAAAGGAGCGUAAAUUGUUCACCAUAUGAGCUUCAAUAGAUGCUAGAAUCCAAGAAAUAAUUCUAGCAUCCUUUGCCUCCCAUUGACUAAUUUCCUUUCCAUCUCUAGGUGCUGUAGAAGACCCGUCAAUAUGACUCCAAAGCUCUUUGCCUUUUAGAAACAUCCUAAAUUGAAAUUCCCAUGCCGCAUAAUUUUUUCCAGUGAACUUGAUGGACAAAGAUUCCGUAUGUAUUUUUCCCAAAGAGUUUUCCAUAGACAUUCUUUCAAAAAAAACAAAGAUCUGAAUUACAAGAAAAGCUGCCAACCACAAUAUGAUUGACCCAAAAGGAUAUCUUGAAACCAAAUGAUUGAUCAAAAUAAUCAACCCAAGAAGGAUAACAACUCAGAAAGUUUGGAAAGGCUGAGAAAUUCAAAUAACUGGCUCUGAUACCAUGACAAGUUUUCUAGAUCAAAGACCGAAUGCCUCUUUUGUGCAUCUUUUCCAUUUAAAUAGAAAAACUCUGUACCUUCUCUCCUCCGUCAGAAUAUCUACCUCCCUAAUGUAUUAAUUACAUAUAUGCUAAUAUACAUCUAAUAUAGUAGACCAUGAGUGCAAUUAGUAGACUAGAUCCCAUAAGCAGCUGUUCUUGUCUUUUGCUAGCAGAUCAGAUCUCAUAAUCAGUUGCUGCCCAUGACUUCCAUAAGCAGCUGUUCUUGACUUUU
rnacentral:lncRNA from 1 species